rnacentral:tRNA from 1 species
ACUUAAAUAUUUUAUUUUAAAAUUAUGAUUUGUGGAGUCAUAGAUGUUGUUUAACUUUAGGUC